rnacentral:rRNA from 1 species
AGAGUUUGAUCAUGGCUCAGGAUGAACGCUAGCUACAGGCUUAACACAUGCAAGUUGCGGGGCAGCGUGAUAUUAGCUUGCUAAUAUUGAUGGCGACCGGCGCACGGGUGAGUAACGCGUAUCCAACCUGCCCAUUACCGGGGUAUAGCCCGUCGAAAGGCGGAUUAAUCCCCCAUGGAGUCAGAAUAUGGCAUCAUGAUUUGACGAAAGGUUUAGCGGUAAUGGAUGGGGAUGCGUCCGAUUAGAUAGUUGGCGGGGUAAAGGCCCACCAAGUCGACGAUCGGUAGGGGUUCUGAGAGAAAGGUCCCCCACAUUGGAACUGAGACACGGUCCAAACUCCUACGGGAGGCAGCAGUGAGGAAUAUUGGUCAAUGGACGAGAGUCUGAACCAGCCAAGUAGCGUGCAGGAUGACGGCCCUAUGGGUUGUAAACUGCUUUUAUGCGGGGAUAAAGUGUGGGAUGCGUCCCAUAUUGCAGGUACCGCAAGAAAAAGGACCGGCUAAUUCCGUGCCAGCAGCCGCGGUAAUACGGAAGGUCCGGGCGUUAUCCGGAUUUAUUGGGUUUAAAGGGAGCGUAGGCCGGAAGAUAAGCGUGUUGUGAAAAGUCGGGGCUCAACCUCGGCCUUGCAGCGCGAACUGUUUUUCUUGAGUACGCAGUAGGUAGGCGGAAUUCGUUGUGUAGCGGUGAAAUGCUUAGAUAUGACGAAGAACUCCGAUUGCGAAGGCAGCCUGCCGUAGCGCGACUGACGCUGAUGCUCGAAAGCGUGGGUAUCGAACAGGAUUAGAUACCCUGGUAGUCCACGCGGUAAACGAUGGAUGCUCGCUGUUGGCUUUAUAUAGUCAGUGGCCAAGCGAAAGCGUUAAGCAUCCCACCUGGGGAGUACGCCGGCAACGGUGAAACUCAAAGGAAUUGACGGGGGCCCGCACAAGCGGAGGAACAUGUGGUUUAAUUCGAUGAUACGCGAGGAACCUUACCCGGGCUUGAACUGCAGCAGACGUAUUUAGAGAUAGAUAUUCCCUUCGGGGCUGUUGUGGAGGUGCUGCAUGGUUGUCGUCAGCUCGUGCCGUGAGGUGUCGGCUUAAGUGCCAUAACGAGCGCAACCCCUGUUUUCAGUUGCCAUCGGUAGAAGCCGGGCACUCUGGAGAGACUGCCUCCGUAAGGAGUGAGGAAGGUGGGGAUGACGUCAAAUCAGCACGGCCCUUACGUCCGGGGCUACACACGUGUUACAAUGGGGCAUACAGAGAGUCGGUUUAUCGUAAGAUGGAUCCAAUCAAUAAAGUGCCUCUCAGUUCGGACUGGGGUCUGCAACCCGACCCCACGAAGCUGGAUUCGCUAGUAAUCGCGCAUCAGCCAUGGCGCGGUGAAUACGUUCCCGGGCCUUGUACACACCGCCCGUCAAGCCAUGAAAGCCGGGGGCGCCUAAAGUCCGUGACCGCGAGGGUCGGCCUAGGGCGAAACCGGUGAUUGGGGCUAAGUCGUAACAAGGUAGCCGUA